rnacentral:misc_RNA from 1 species
AAAUACCUUAGCUGCUGGAAUUUAAAAAGAUGAUGAGGUGAAUGAUACUUGUUUCCUAUGCGUACAAUAAGGGUGAAUUCCUGGACAUUUUUCUUCGACAAGAAGUGCAUCCAAUGAUCAAUAUCAGGACAACUCGUAAAAUUACGGAGUCUAAACUUCAAUAUUGGUCCUUUAUGGACUAAUAGGACUUGGUAAAUAAUUCUCUUG